AUCUUUUGUAAGACCGUGACUGUGAAGGCUUAGUGGAAUUCACAAAAAAUAGGAAAAAGAAAAAUGAUAUAUUAUUAAAUUAAUUUUUGUUUUGGCAGCUAUCAUGGUUAUGUCAUAUUUCAGUGACAUUUUUUCAAAAAUAUGGAAAACGGUACUGGGACUGAAUAUCAACAAUCCCAAGAAAACGUAAGGGUCUUUAUAAGGGUAAGGCCGCUUAGUAAAAAAGAACUGUCUGAAGGAAAUGAAAAUAUUGUUUUAUGCGAUUAUAGAGAAAAUCUAAUUGCAUUAAGAAAAAAUAGGAGAGCAUACUAAGCCUUUUAAAUUUGAUCAUAUAUUUGGAUUGGAUACUACACAAGUGAAUACAAUUUGGAUGGUAUCAAAGCAAUCCAGUGGAGUGGAAUUCAUGAAAAAGAUGCUAAUUUAAAUGUUCGGCCAACUGGAGUAUGGCUUACAAAGUCGGGGCUUCUUGGUGCUAGACCUGAUUGAAUAAUUGAUGAAGAAGAAAAGCCAUUGUAAAAGUGAAAUGCCCAUAUUCUUUCAGAAAUGAUAUAUUGAGGAAUUUAAAAAAAUAUAUAAAUUUUUAUGACAAUGAGGGUAACUUGAUCAAGUAACAAAUUGUAGUUGUUUACUUUAUGAAAAUUGUGGUUGGAUUUACAGGCUUUUAUUAAAUUAGCAAAACAGUAUUAUUAUUGCUUUUAACAAUAAUUUUAUUACAUCAAUUACGUCAUUUAUAAAUUAAGUAAAAUCUAAAUAUACAUUUUUCAAAUGAAAAUUUCUAAACUUUUACAAAAAAAAGUCGAAUAAGGAAAUAUAUUGCUACAAUAAAAAAUAUUUAAAACUCCUGGUAGUGGCUCAUUUGAAGGACCUGGUAGUGGUUCGGUUGAAGGUCCUGGUAGUAGGUCGGUCACAAGGUUUUUUACAGUUCGCUUUCUAAAAAAUGUGGUUUAUUAAACUAAUGGACUUUCUGCAACAAAAUGCAUACCUUUUUUCUGGUGAUUUUAUAUUAAAGUUCUUCUGAAUAUAAAAAUCAAAUAAAGUUGGCCCAUUCUUUUUUUCACAUGGAUCUCUAUUAUG